rnacentral:rRNA from 1 species
GAUGAACGCUAGCUACAGGCUUAACACAUGCAAGUCGAGGGGCAGCAUGGGGGUUGCUUGCAGCUCUCGAUGGCGACCGGCGCACGGGUGAGUAACGCGUACCCAACCUGCCCUUCACCACGGGUUAACCAGGCGAAAGUCGGACCAAUACCGUACGUCGUCCAUUGACGGCAUCCGAGAUGGACGAAGGGCUUGGCGGUGGAGGAUGGGAAUGCGGCCGAUUAGGUGGAUGGCGGGGUAACGGCGGACCGAGGCUUUGACGGGUAGCCGGCCUGAGAGGGUGACCGGCCACAGUGGGACUGAGAUACGGCCCAGACUCCUACGGGAGGCAGCAGUGGGGAAUAUUGCACAAUGGGCGGAAGCCUGAUGCAGCAACGCCGCGUGCGGGAUGACGGCCUUCGGGUUGUAAACCGCUUUCGCCUGUGACGAAGCGUGAGUGACGGUAAUGGGUAAAGAAGCACCGGCUAACUACGUG